rnacentral:sRNA from 1 species
UGACCCUUCUUAAGCCGAGGGUCACCUAGCCAACUGACGUUAUUAGUGAACAUACACUUAUUCACAUAUAUAAACCCAGUGCACCAUUUGCACUGGGUCUUUUUUUG